UAUUGUCGUUAGGACCAAAUGUAGACUGGC
rnacentral:piRNA from 1 species